GAUAGCAACAAGUGAUGUUAAAAACAAAAAUAAAAUAAAAGAAGCAAUUGAAGAUACUCAGCCUGCAUCUGUUUUCACCUUAUCUUUUUUUACUUUUCGACAUUUGCUGAAUUCAGACAAGUAAUUUAAAGCUACGAAAUUCGCCACGUAUCUGAAUAUACCUCUUCUCUUUCAAAACCCUAGAUGCAUUUCUGGUGGUGUUUUUUUCCUGUUGCUGUGCAGAGAGAUAGAGAGAGAGAGAGAGAGAGAGAGAAGGAUCCAGCAGGAGAAAAGAAAGAGAGUGAUCUGCGGUAGAAAUGCUGAGAGAGAAAGUGUUGUUGGGUUGGGCAGGCAAUGCUGAGAGAGUGGAUCGGAGAGAGAGAGAGA